GGUUGUCAAGCCUCUGCUUAAAGACCUCCAAAGAAGGAGACUCCACCACACUCCUGACAGUAAGAGCUGUUCGACAGUGGAAUUUGCUGCCAAGGAGUGUGGUGGAGUCUCCUUCUUUGGAGGUCUUUAAGCAGAGGCUUGACAACCAUAUGUC